rnacentral:rRNA from 1 species
CGCCUCUUGCAAACCAAAGAAUAAGAGGUCCCGCCUGCCCAGUGACAAUAUGAUUCAACGGCCGCGGUAUUUUGACCGUGCAAAGGUAGCGUAAUCACUUGUCUUUUAAAUGAAGACCUGUAUGAAUGGCAUAACGAGGGCUUAACUGUCUCCUUUUUCCAGUCAAUGAAAUUGAUCUCCCCGUGCAGAAGCGGGGAUACAAACAUAAGACGAGAAGACCCUAUGGAGCUUUAGACACCAAGACAGAUCAUGUCAAACACCCCCUGACAAGGGCCUAAACCUAAUGAUCCCCUGUCCUAAUGUCUUCGGUUGGGGCGACCAUGGGGAAGCACAAAACCCCCAUGUGGAUUAGGAGGACAACCCCACAUUAUUUCCCCUCCUCCCACAAGCGAGAGCCACGACUCUAGCUAACAGAAUUUCUGACCUUACAUGAUCCGGCGUACGCCGAUCAACGGACCAAGUUACCCUAGGGAUAACAGCGCAAUCCCCUUUUAGAGCCCAUAUCGACAAGGGGGUUUACGACCUCGAUGUUGGAUCAGGACAUCCUAAUGGUGCAGCCGCUAUUAAGGGUUCGUUUGUUCAACGAUUAAAGUC